rnacentral:rRNA from 1 species
AGUGAACGCUGGCGGUAGGCCUAACACAUGCAAGUCGAACGGCAGCACAGUAAGAGCUUGCUCUUACGGGUGGCGAGUGGCGGACGGGUGAGGAAUACAUCGGAAUCUACUUUUUCGUGGGGGAUAACGUAGGGAAACUUACGCUAAUACCGCAUCCGACCUACGGGUGAAAGCAGGGGAUCUUCGGACCUUGCGCGAUUGAAUGAGCCGAUGUCGGAUUAGAUAGUUGGCGGGGUAAAGGCCCACCAAGGCGACGAUCCGUAGCUGGUCUGAGAGGAUGAUCAGCCACACUGGAACUGGGACACGGUCCAGACUCCUACGGGAGGCAGCAGUGGGGAAUAUUGGACAAUGGGCGCAAGCCUGAUCCAGCCAUACCGCGUGGGUGAAGAAGGCCUUCGGGUUGUAAAGCCCUUUUGUUGGGAAAGAAAAGCAGCAGGUUAAUACCCCGCUGUUCUGACGGUACCCAAAGAAUAAGCACCGGCUAACUUCGUG